rnacentral:lncRNA from 1 species
GACUGAUUAGAUCACUAAGUGACUCGAGUUGACCCAUAUCAUUAAGAUUAAUUAGUAUGAUUGAUUUACAUGCUUUGGAUCGACUUGUCUCUAGUCCUUCUCAUUACUUGGUGAAGUCAGUGGGAGGAUUUAUGACUUGCCUAUUGGACCAGCUGGUCAUUAGUCUUUUACCUGAUUUGGUGAAGUCAGUUGGAGGAUUUAUGACUUGCAGGUUGACUAAUUGCUUCUAAAAUAUAUUAACCAAAUUUUCUUAAUUAUUAGGUCCAUAAAAUGAGUUAGUUAUGGGGAUAACUAGAUCAUAGCCUUCCAUUAAGGUACGUGAUAAUAAGUCCAAUAUUCUAAAUAGGUAUUGGAGGCAUCACACAUCUGGUGUCUAUUACAUAUUAAAAUUAUCAUCCAUCAUAUGACCAUCUUAUUGUAUCUUCAGAUCAAUGCUCAGAUUGGUCGAGCCACACUUGGAUCUGGAUAUCUUUUUGUUGGAUGCACUUAAUGUUGUCAUGUUAAUAGUUGGAUCUAACUAAGAUUUUCAGUGGAGGUGCCACACGCCUGCUGAAGGGAUGCCUGGGAUAAAAUCUGAUUGCUAAAAAUUAUUUGGAGAAAUAAUUGGUUAUGAACCUACCCAUGGAUGCACCAG